rnacentral:rRNA from 1 species
UACGUAGGGACCGAGCGUUGUCCGGAAUCAUUGGGCGUAAAGGGCGCGUAGGCGGACAGCUUAGUCAGAGGUGAAAGCCCAGGGCUCAACCUUGGAAUUGCCUUUGAUACUGGCUGUCUUGAGUUCGGGAGAGGUGAGUGGAAUGCCGAGUGUAGAGGUGAAAUGCUUAGAUAUGACAUAGAACACCAAUUGCGAAGGCAGCUUACUACCCGAAUAUUGACACUGAGGCACGAAAGCGUGGGGAUCAAACAGG